rnacentral:misc_RNA from 1 species
CCGAGCUCGCGCCCGUCUGGGCGAUCUCCCACCCACUGUUAUCACUAUCAGCGUUGCUUUGGUGGGCCGUCGGGCUCUACCCGACCGCCGGCCCUAGGCCGGCGCGUGCCCGCCAGAGGUCCUAUAAACUCUAAAAGUCAGUGUCGUCCGAGUCCUAUAUAAUAGUUA